ACUUAGCUAAUGUGUCUUAAAAAUUCUCAAAAUAGGACGAAACGCGCGUCCUGAAU
rnacentral:hammerhead_ribozyme from 1 species